UACCCUGCUAAAUAACAAAACGGAGGUUAUAGAGAUUCCUAGAAGUGAUAUAUGGAUCAAUUUGGGUUAUACAAUUUAAUGGUAGUUGGGUUGUAAGAAAGUAUUAGGUGGACAUGAGGGAUUAGUCACAACAUUUGAUCACACAACAUAUUUGAUAAAAGGUAGAAAAAGAAAAUAAUUAAGUAAUGUGUAUUUUUUUUAAAUGAUUAAAUGAUAUGUAUUUUUCUGUGAAUGUGAUCAAAUAUUGUACCUAAAUGCUUAUGAUCAUAUAAAUAACUCUUUUACUUUCUUUGAAUCAUAUCAUAAUAGUUUUACAUGUAAAUAUAAGUGUGACAUUGAUGUGGUACAGUGGUGGUAGUAAUUUCUCUACAACACAAAAUUGGCACUAUCUAAAUUGGAUUUUUAUGUGAAUAAUUAUGGUUCCAUUAGACAACGUUACCCCUAGCUUUUGGAAAUAUGAAGCUUAUGAUGAUGAUGAUAUUAGUAAUUAAUUAAUAGAGCAAUUGAUUUGAUACUGAAAUGGAACUUGGUUGAUUGAUACUGGUGAGUCCCCUACAUGUAUACCAAUAGAUAUAUGUUAAUUAAGUUAGUUGUCAUGGAUAUCAAGUCUAUUUAUAUGAUAUUUAUUUUCGUAUGAGAAUAGCACUGCUAUGAGAAUGUAGCACUACUAUUUAUAUGAUAUUUAUAAAUUAUGAUUUUGGGUUUUAGGGUGUCACAUGUCUGAUUUAUGAUUUCAGGAAAGUUGAUUGAACCUACUAUAUAUGGUUCAGCAUCAGCAGGUAUGUUAUACUUUUCUAUGAUAUAUGAAACUAUGAACAAUAUGUGAAGUGGAGUUGGUUCUGAUGCAAUAGGGAUUUUGUAUGUGCAGUAGGGAUUUUGUGCGGAGUGUAUGUUGAUCUUAAAUAUGAUACUUUAAGAUGCAUUUUAUAGAUUGAGUACCCACUAGUUUAGUUGUGUCAUAUGAAAUGAUGGAUGACAAAUGUCUCAAAUAUCAUAACUUAGUAUACUCUGUUGUUUCUCUUUGGAAGGGAGUGGCAUUUAUUCUUUGAAAUAGCAAAAUUUUAUCACACAAAACACUCCAAUGCAUAUGAGGCCUCAUGUAUCUUUUUCGUGGCGUUUCAAUAGUGAUAGCCUAGCUAGAUUAUUGUUUAAUGAAAAUGACCAUUAUUGUCUAUGUAGAAUUUCCUUGUUUUAUUUCUUAUAUGGUCUUACAUUUGUGAAGGAAUCAGUAGGUAACCAUGAAGCAGACUCAUUACAAGGUGUGUUUACUUCGCAUAACACUAGUAACAAGGUAAUCAAUCACCUUUGUCCAACAUAGUGAUUUACCUACCCGGUUGUGUUGAGCAUUUUUAAAAAGAUGGAAACACUGUUUCAUCAA
rnacentral:lncRNA from 1 species